GUGAAAUAUUCAUUAAUCUUGAUUGGAGACACACAUAAGUUUCAUGUGGACUUUAUACAAGCUCUACACAAACAGAUUCCUGGUCUGAUGAAGGUAUCUACAGAGCAGGAGAGUGAUGUCAUACUGUUCUUCUGUCCUGUUCUAGCUGGUCUUCAUUGUCAUCAGCAGGAGGUAAACAAGAGAAAAGACAAGCUUGCUGUUCUCAUUUAUCUCCAUUAUAAACUGGAUGCAGCCUCUUUCCCAAACAACAGUGAAAUUGAGAACAGGCCAGAUGUUUUCGUAGUGGAUUAUGUCUUCUAUGAUACUAUAGGACAACCUGCCUCUCAGAUGAAGAGAAAUGCAGUUUAUGCAGUCUCACACUGGUUAAACACCAAGAUGGCAUGAUUAUUCUAUUAUAGAGAAGUACUGUGUUUUCUGAUUGCUGGCAGACAGUUGAAAAGUCACAUUUUUCUCAGAAUCUCAUACAAUUUGAACAAACUGUAUAGAUCUGAGUAGAUUGUGUUCUAUUUCAUCAGUUACAUUAUUUAUUAAUAAUUAAUUUAGUAAUUCAAUUAUAUCAUUCAUUUAUUUCAUCAUUUUAUCAUCCAAUUUUGAUCCAGUUGUAUUAUUAUUCUAUAUUAUAUUCAUCUUUAUUUUAUCUAGUAUUCUGUUUUUACAUGACUAUCUUAAAGUUGUUUAAGUCAUGCUGUAUUGUCUUUUAAAGUUAAUAUGAGUCUCUAAUGGUGUCCAUCUCAAGUGUUUUAUUAACAUCACGAGCAUGUGUAGUGGUUAUAAAUAACAAAGAAAAAGAAACAUUAAAUGUGUUGAAUCAUAGGCAAAUGUGUAAUUUGGAACUUGUCCAGUAGGGGGCAACCUGGGGAAAAUAAGGUCAGACACACAAGAUCCCUUCCCCCACACUUGUUACAGAUGAAGGAAGGGAAACAGAUCAAAUGUGCUUGUGUCUUACUUAUUUUAAAAUAUUAAAAUUAUCUUUUCAGGUAAGCCCCAAAAACUAUUAAAUAUGAUGACUGAAAGAGUGAGCACGUUUAUUGUUGUUAAACUAUUUAACUAUGUUAAACUAAAGUACUAAAAGUACAAAUGUUUCUAUGCUUUUGUGUUAAUGGAUUAAGUGAGAUCUAAUGACUUGUGGGUCAAUUCUCUAAUCAAUCUGUUACUAUACGUUUGGGUUACCAUACUUUUGUUAAACUAUAUAUAUGAAAAUGUUAUAAAAGUGAGAAUGUUACUAUUUGUGAGGCCUGUGUUGGAUGUUUGCACAUAUGCAGAGAUAUUCAUCCUUAUAUUGUAUAUUUGUUUUGUGAUAUAUUUACUGUGGCAAAUUUCACACAUAUACUUUAUACUUUUCAUAUAGUAAUGCGAGGCAUUUUACAGACUGGGUAUAAAGCAGGUGAUGUUCUGUGUUAAUGUCUAUUUUUUUGGUUGUUUAUUUUGUCUGAUGAAGUGAAAAGAACAAUGUUACAAUAUCAUCAGAUAUUCCUCUUUUAAAUACAUGUACUUAAAUAAACACACUUGUUACAGAUGAAGAAAGGGAAGCAGAUCAAAUGUGCUUGUGUCUUACUUAUUUUAAAAUAUUAAAAUUCUCUUUUCAGAGGAUUACACAUGUUGUGAACAGUUAAUUUCCACUGUAUAAUGCUACCUGCUAAAUCUGCUUCUAGUCAGACAAAGUCAGAUGUCCUACCAAAGUUAGUUAGUCAGGACAUCAACAAAGCUAAACUGAGCAUUGAACUCAACAAAGAUUAUUUAAUAAACCAUCUUUAUUAUUAUUUCAUCA